GAUGAAGAACGUAGCGAAAUGAGAUAAGUAAUGUGAAUUGCAGAAUUCAGUGAAUCAUCGAAUCUUUGAACGCACAUUGCGCCCGCCAGUAUUCUGGCGGGCAUGCCUGUUCGAGCGUCAUUACAACCCUCAGGCCCCCGGGCCUGGCGUUGGGGAUCGGCGGAGCCCCCCGUGGGCACACGCCGUCCCCCAAAUGCAGUGGCGGUCCCGCCGCAGCUUCCAUCGCGUAGUAGCUAACACCUCGCGACUGGAGAGCGGCGCGGCCACGCCGUAAAACACCCAACUCUUCUGAAGUUGACCUCGAAUCAGGUAGGAAUACCCGCUGAACUUAAGCAUAUCAAUAAGCGGAGA
rnacentral:misc_RNA from 1 species